CACGAUUUCCCUUCUUUGUCCUCUCCCUCUCUCUCCUGGCCGUCGACGGCAGUUCUCCCUCUAGUUGAACAAGUUCGACGGCACCCUCCCUCUCGCUCGGCUUAGUUGAUUUGGAGUGCAAAGCAAGUGACGAUGAUGGUUUUGAUGACUUGACAAAGAAAAUGCCUUCUGAAGAGAAAGCUGUUGACAAACUAUCACUUGGAACUGCUGAUACUCCUGCAUUAAAAGAGCUCGCCUCACUCUCUUGCAUCUCCAUGAAGCAUGUUUUUUUCACUUUCACGUCAUUUAAGGAACCAAAACUGAGUAACAUUCCACUGUAGUUCAUUGGUAAGAAAACACCAAAUCAUGCCAUCAAAGAUGGCAAACCAAAUGGGGAAGUUACUUCUGCAGAUAUCUUGGACCAUCCUCCUCAUGGAACCAAGGGGAAUAGUUCUGUUAAAAUGGUUUGGAGAACCACCGCAACCACAAUAUCUAUCCCCUUUUCCCCAGAAUCUUCACUUUUGAGACGACAACAA